rnacentral:rRNA from 1 species
UUGGAGGGCAAGUCUGGUGCCAGCAGCCGCGGUAAUUCCAGCUCCAAUAGCGUAUAUUAAAGUUGUUGCAGUUAAAAAGCUCGUAGUUGAAUUUCGGGAUCAGUACGCCGGUCGUGCCUUCGGUAUGCACUGGUGUCACUGGUUUCUCCCUUCUGAAGAACCAUCAUGCCAUUAAGUUGGUGUGGCGGGGAAUCAGGACUGUUACUUUGAAAAAAUUAGAGUGUUUAAAGCAGGCUAACGCUUGAAUACAUUAGCAUGGAAUAAUGAAAUAGGACGUUCGAACCUAUUUUGUUGGUUUCUAGGAUCGACGUAAUGAUUAAUAGGGAUAGUUGGGGGCAUUAGUAUUCAAUUGUCAGAGGUGAAAUUCUUGGAUUUAUUGAAGACUGACUACUGCGAAAGCAUUUGCCAAGGAUGUUUUCAUUAAUCAAGAACGAAAGUUAGGGGAUCGAAGACGAUCAGAUACCGUCGUAGUCUUAACCAUAAACUAUGCCGACUAGGGAUCGGAUGAUGUUAAUUUUAUAAUGACUCAUUCGGCACCUUACGGGAAAC